rnacentral:rRNA from 1 species
UAAGGGGAGUACAGAGGGUUUAGCGGCGGUGGUUGGCGGAGCAUACGGAGGAGGCUGGGUGGAGCGGCAGCCGGGAGGGCGAGGGGUGAGGGUGUAGUGUCGAGGCCUCCGAUGGCCUAGGCGGCGUAGGUGGUAGGUGGGUAGGGAGAGGGCAGGGUAGGGAGAGAGAAGUGCGCCGAAGAGCUACGCGGUGGACGCAGCCGAUUAAGUGCGCCGCAGGCCGCUUAGGGCGGUGGCAUUUCGUGUCGAGCUCCGGGGGAGCGUAGUACCUGGGGGGGUUGGAGGGUGUGUGUGUGUUAGUCCGAUCCAGGCCGCGAGCGUCGGUGGUUUCUGGUGGCUGAUCGGAGGGGGAUACCGAUCCCAAAGCCCGCGGCCCGUAGCCGAGGCCGCGACCACCGGUACAGCAAAAGAAAAGGUGAACGAACGGGGACGUCAGUAGAGAACAAUGGAUCCAACGAGAAGCUUCUAUAGUACUAAAACAAAGAAAACAAACCUACCUAUCAUCGAAUAAGGGCUAACAUUAACAUCAAGACAAUAGCAACUUCUCUAACAAACCUUUAACGACGUGUGUUUGGACGAACGUGCAGAAGCCCCGUCGCUACUGCCGCUACAGACGAGAAACAGCGAAAGGGAGAAGGGUGACUUCACCUGUGACCAUUUCUAACCCUAUUUCAAGGUGGGCAGGGAUGAAUACUGACAAGAAAGAAGAAGACUGACAAGAACGUAUAUCUAGGAUAAAACAAAAGUAACUACCUUGUUACUCAAACAAAAAUGGGACACUCUUAUAGACUCAUUCCGGUUCUUAGACACACCAACUUAAGUACAACCUAAGUGUCUUUAUCACAUACUAAAAACAAAUAAUAAUAGUACAUGGGACACUAACAGGUUCACUCAUACUCUAAAUUAAGGCCAACACGUUCUAAACACGGAUUGAACUUGGUAGAAGCGUACAUAAAAGGUAACUAGUUCACAACUACUACACAACUAGGCAGCUCAACUCUAAAUCAAAAAAGUACUGGUACGACUACUAAACAAUUAGGACAGUUAUUGAACAACAGAAUAGGAACUAACAUGAGACUAUCUACACUUCACGUUCAUUCACGAGGGCAAAUGUGAAAACUGAUUUGGUUCCGAAAAAACGAUUCGAUUAAAAUAAGGUCAAAAGCACAUAAUGAGGAUUUUCAUAAAUAUUGUUAAAUAAGGACCUUAUAAAACAGCGAAACAACUAACAGAUAUACGUGUCGAUUUAGGACUUUCAUCUACAAGGCGACAAUUCGAGGUCGUUUAGAACAUAAAGUAGAUCGAUUUGAACUAAGUAAGAAGGGGGUGCCAAAAUUUGAAGUAUCGGACACGCUUGUUUAUUUAUAUGUAAACGUAACCCAACAUUAUCAGAAUCUACCUCGUAGACUUAAACUGUUAGUACGUCACAAAGAACGUUAAUUGACUCGUGAGCUGAAGUUACCACGAUAAAGUCCAAAGUCAGGUAACCGUUGUUUUCUUAAACAUACUGACUCUAGCUCAAUAUAUGUAACACUAUAUACGUAGGCUACUGGACCUAUGUUCUACGGUCACUGAACGACCUAAAGUGUAACGUGCACACUACAAAACACGUAGCUAUGAGUGUUGUGAUGUUCUUACGCUGUCUAACUGAUACCAAACCAUUUUUAAUCCUAUCAGAUUUACGUCACUUAGGGUAAAAAGUACGACGUAGAAAAGAAAACUUGUCAAAGACUUUCAUAACCUCACGGGUACAAGAAUAGUCAGAACAAAAGGAAAAGAGUUCUAAAUCCUAUUAAACAAAUUCUACCAAGCCGUUUUCACGUUGUGACGGAAAAUUAGAUACCAAAUUUCGAAACCUGACGAUGGAGUCUUUAUACAUAGCGGGUAUAAACUUGAGUAGGUUUGACAUGUUAAAAAGAACCUACUAACAUGGUAAGCCAAAGGAGAAAAUUUCAUCAAAACAAUAAACAACACUUAUACCCACCCACGCCGUUUCGCUCGGAAAUACAAGAUCAUACAUAUGAGAGGUCAAGUAAGUAGGACUACGUACACAUAUUGAUAGAUUGAUUGAGCCCCUAUUUAAGUAACUCGGUCUACAUUUCAACAAUUCCAUCAUUGAUCCUGUGUAACUCGCCCUCCUCAUAUAGACCGAGAAGAAAAUAAUUCAUCCUUACCUUGAACUAACUCGAAAUGAACACAACGUGACAAGAUAUCUACGUACUCUGUGGACAUUCAGACAUUGGAAAGAGGGAACCAAAACGUCGACGUGCGUGGUUGAGCUACGUCCCCCUGCGGUACCUCGUUCAGCUCAAGCACCUUGUUCAGUACCUGCUACGGUACCUUCUACUUACCCGUACAGCUAUUCCGUGAACACUUUUGAUUUCUAAACCAUCCCUCAGUGUUUUUGACGUGAUGAGGGUCGUUAUGUCUUUUUUGUUUCUACCGUACCGGAAGUUGGAAAUAAGUUUUCUAUAUACCUACUUAUAUACCCAAAUCACCGUUCAUAUGACGUUAACUACUGCAUCGUAGCGAUCGUUCUUACUUGCCCAGGCGCACUAUACGGUAGUGACAGGACAAUUGUGUCCAGAAGGACAUUAGUAAUUGGAAAUGGACUGGUUCUCCCUAGGUACACGUGGACUUAUUACGG